CAGCCGUAAACAAUGUGCGUUAGGUGUGUCGGUAACCACGCGUUACUGAUGCGCCGAAGAGAAAUCGUGAAACGCACCACCUGGGAAGUACGGUCGCAAAGGCUGAAACUUAAAGGAAUUGGCGGGGGAGCACCACAACAGGUGGAGCCUGCGGUUUAAUUGGAUUCAACGCCGGACACCUCACCGGAUAAGACAGCUGAAUGAUUGUCAAUCUGAAGGUUUUACAUGACUAGCUGAGAGGAGGUGCAUGGCGUCAGUGACU
rnacentral:rRNA from 1 species